UGGUUAAAUGCAAAAAAUGUGGUCGAAAUGGCCACUUUGCAAAAACUUGUAAUCUCCCUCCUUUAGUUAUUGCAGAACCACCACCAAUGGAGCACACUCCUACUAAAAGAAAGAGAGAUGCUACUGCAGCCGAGGAGGAAGUUGUGGAAGAUGACGAACCUAUAGCAAAUUAUAAAAGGCAGAAGACUCCG